rnacentral:ncRNA from 2 species
AAAGAUGAACAAGGGAGCUGGUAAACCAGCUGAGAGUUAGCUGUGAGCUAAGACCUUUGACCUGAUGUGGAUAAUGCCAACGGAGGAAGGUUUAUUUAUUCUGUUU